ACGGAGGCAGCAGUGGGGAAUAUUGCACAAUGGGCGAAAUCCUGAUGCAGCGACGCCGCGUGAACGAAGAAGUAUUUCGGUAUGUAAAGUUCUAUCAGCAGGGAAGAAGAAUGACGGUACCUGACUAAGAAGCACCGGCUAAAUACGUGCCAGCAGCCGCGGUAAUACGUAUGGUGCAAGCGUUAUCCGGAUUUACUGGGUGUAAAGGGAGCGCAGGCGGUAUGGCAAGUCUGAUGUGAAAGCCCGGGGCUCAACCCCGGUACUGCAUUGGAAACUACCAGACUAGAGUGUCGGAGAGGUAAGUGGAAUUCCUAGUGUAGCGGUGAAAUGCGUAGAUAUUAGGAGGAACACCAGUGGCGAAGGCGGCUUACUGGACGAUAACUGACGCUGAGGCUCGAAAGCGUGGGGAGCAAACAGGAUUAGAUACCCUGGUA
rnacentral:rRNA from 1 species